UGUAGGUAAAGCUACUAAGGGCAUACGGUGAAUGCCUUGGUACAUGGAGGCGAUGAAGGACGUGAUAAGCUGCGAUAAGCCUCGGUGAGGUGCAAACAACCUUAGAUCCGAGGAUUUCCGAAUGGGGCAACCCAUCCCGGGCAAUACCGGGAUACACCCAUCUGAAUACAUAGGAUGGGAUGAGUCAACGGGGUGAAUUGACACAUCUUAGUAACCCCAGGAAAAGAAAACAAAAGUGAUUUCCUAAGUAGCGGCGAGCGAACGGGAAAGAGCCCAAACCAUGAUCGUGUUAAAGCCCGCAGGCGUUGCGGUCAUGGGGUAGUGAGAUAGUAUUAGAGUCGGUUGCGGACGACUCGGGGAGUCAAAAAAUCUGCGAUUAGCCGAACGGAAUGGAAAGUCCGACCAUAGAGGGUGAUAGUCCUGUAGGCGAAAAUCAAUGAUCUUCCUGAAUACUAUUCUCAAGUAACACGGUACACGAGAAAUUCCGUGUGAAACUGCCAGGACCAUCUGGUAAGGCUAAAUACUCCCAUGUGACCGAUAGUGAACUAGUACCGUGAGGGAAAGGUGAAAAGUACUCCUAACGGAGAGUGAAAUAGAACCUGAAACUGUAUGCCUACAAGCGGUCGGAGUCCCGAUUUAUCGGGAUGACGGCGUGCCUUUUGCAUAAUGAGCCAGCGAGUUGCUCGUAUGUCGCAAGGUUAAGGUAUUAAAACCGGAGCCGUAGCGAAAGCAAGUCUGAAUAGGGCGAUUAAGUGACAUGCGGCAGACCCGAAGCCGAGUGAUCUAGCCAUGGCCAGGUUGAAGCGACAGUAACAUGUCGUGGAGGACCGAACCCACCAGGGUUGAAAACCUGGGGGAUGAGCUGUGGCUAGGGGUGAAAGGCCAAUCAAACUCGGCGAUAUCUGGUUCUCCCCGAAAUGCCUUUAGGGGCAGCGUUACGGUAGUAUCUUGGGGGUAGAGCACUGGAUGGACUAGGGGCCCUACAAGGUUACCAAACCCAACCAAACUCCGAAUACCAAGAUUAUGAUCCGUGGCAGUGAGGCCGUGGGGGAUAAGCUUCAUGGCCGAAAGGGAAACAACCCAGACCAACAGCUAAGGUCCCCAAAUCCGGGUUAAGUGACAAAGGAUGUGGGAUUGCUUAAACAGCUAGGAGGUUGGCUUAGAGGCAGCCAUCCUUUAAAGAAAGCGUAACAGCUCACUAGUCAAGGAAUCCUGCGCCGAUAAUCUCCGGGACUGAUAAACCCGGUACCGAAGCUAUGGUCUUUCCGAUUUAUCGGGAAGAGGUAGGGGAGCGUUCCAUUAACCUGUGAAGCCUUUGCCGGAAGGCGGGGUGGAGGAGAUGGAAGUGAGUAUGCUGGCAUAAGUAGCGAUAAACUCGAUGAAAUUUCGAGUCACCGAAAGCCUAAGGUUUCCUGAGUAAAGUAAAUCUGCUCAGGGUUAGUCGGACCCUAAGCCGAGGCCGAAAGGCGUAGGCGAUGGAUAACAGGUGAAUAUUCCUGUACUACCCUGUUGUUGUCUGAGUGAUGGGGGGACGCAGAAGUGAAAGGUCAGCCCGGUUUUGAUUGUCCGGGUUUAAGUAAGUAGGGGGUCCUGGUAGGCAAAUCCGCCGGGACUUAACCCCGAGAUACGAAUAGGAGGGCCUAGCCCAUAAACUGACCCUAAUCAUGCUGCCAAGAAAAUCCUCUAAACAAGAUGACAGGGUAACCGUACCACAAACCGACACAGGUAGGCGAGAUGAGUAUUCUAAGGUGCUUGGGUGAAUUCCAGUUAAGGAACUCGGCAAAUUGACCCCGUAACUUCGGGAGAAGGGGUGCCUCGAUUAGAUGAAAUCUCCUUMGGGCAGAUGGAGUCGAAAGAGGCCGCAGUGAAAUGGCUCGGGCGACUGUUUACUAAAAACACAGGUCUCUGCUAAGUCGUAAGACGAAAUAUAGGGACUGACACCUGCCCGGUGCCGGAAGGUUAAGGGAAAGUGUUAUCCCGCUUCGGCGGGAGAAGCUCAGAACCGAAGCCCCGGUAAACGGCGGCCGUAACUAUAACGGUCCUAAGGUAGCGAAAUUCCUUGUCGGGUAAGUUCCGACCCGCACGAAUGGUGUAACGACUUGAGCGCUGUCUCUACUGGAAACCCAGCGAAAUUGUAGCGUCGGUGAAGAUACCGGCUACCCGCGGCAGGACGAAAAGACCCCGUGAACCUUUACUACAGCUUGAUAUUGGGUUUUGGAUCUGUAUGUGUAGGAUAGGUGGGAGGCUAUGAAGUUUCAACGCUAGUUGGGAUGGAGCCGUCCUUGAAAUACCACCCUUAUAUUUCCGGAAUUCUAAUCCCGACCCUUGAAUCAGGGCGAGAAACAUUGUCAGGUGGGUAGUUUGACUGGGGCGGUCUCCUCCUAAAGAGUAACGGAGGAGCUCAAAGGUUCCCUCAGCACGGUCGGUAAUCGUGCAAAGAGUGCAAAGGCAUAAGGGAGCUUGACUGCAAGGCUGACGGGCCAAGCAGGUGCGAAAGCAGGACUUAGUGAUCCGGCGGUUCCGUAUGGAAGGGCCGUCGCUCAUCGGAUAAAAGGUACUCCGGGGAUAACAGGCUUAUCGCCUUCGAGAGCUCAUAUCGACGAGGCGGUUUGGCACCUCGAUGUCGGCUCAUCACAUCCUGGGGCUGGAGAAGGUCCCAAGGGUUGGGCUGUUCGCCCAUUAAAGUGGUACGUGAGCUGGGUUUAGAACGUCGUGAGACAGUUCGGUCUCUAUCCGCCGUGGGCGCAGGAGAAUUGAAGGAAUCUGCUUCUAGUACGAGAGGACCGAAGUGGACGAACCUCUGGUGCACCAGUUGUUUCAUCAGAAGCACCGCUGGGUAGCUAUGUUCGGAAAGGAUAAGCGCUGAAAGCAUAUAAGUGCGAAACCUGACCUAAGAUUAGUUCUCCCUAUCAUAUUGAUAAUAAGGCUCGUUGUAGACUACGACGUUGAUAGGCCACAAGUGUAAGUGCAGUAAUGCAUUCAGCUGAGUGGUACUAAUUAGCCGAAUGGCUUUAUCAAUCUU
rnacentral:rRNA from 1 species